rnacentral:rRNA from 1 species
AGAGUGAACGCUGGCGGUAGGCCUAACACAUGCAAGUCGAACGGCAGCACGGUAAGAGCUUGCUCUUAUGGGUGGCGAGUGGCGGACGGGUGAGGAAUACAUCGGAAUCUACCUUUUGGUGGGGGAUAACGUAGGGAAACUUACGCUAAUACCGCAUACGCCCUUCGGGGGAAAGCCGGGGACCAGCAAUGGCCUGGCGCUGAUAGAUGAGCCGAUGUCGGAUUAGCUAGUUGGUGAGGUAAUGGCUCACCAAGGCGACGAUCCGUAGCUGGUCUGAGAGGAUGAUCAGCCACACUGGAACUGAAGACACGGUCCAGACUCCGUACGGAGGCAGCAGGUGGGAAUAGUGGACAAGUGGGACGCGAAGCCGUAGACU